GCUUGAACGGUUUAAGGAUGGGUAUACAUUACCUUACUUUCCCAAUCAUGGUAUUCUUGCAGCAAGGCAUCAGAAAUCUUGCCAUAGUGCUCAAGCAAGAAAUGUCAUUUGCAUUGACCAAUAUGGUUUGUUUACUAGCUUAGAUAUAGUCACUUAAAGAUUGAUAAUUUAUCAACCUUAGCAUUUUGUUGAUACAUAAGGUCUUUGCAUGCUCAUUUUUUUAAAUCAAUAUUUCUUCUUUAAAUACUAGCUUCAUGGUAAAUUCUAAAUUUUAUUGCAAAGUUCAUGUUUAAUUACCACCUACCCUCUUUCUUUGUGAUCUUUGUAUGUUUCAUUAUGAUGCUGAUGAUGAUGAUAACCAGAACUUGCAGUGUAUUUUUUCAAAUAGGCCGGCAACAUCAGAAACAAGUUCUGUUUUGUGAGUGUGAAAAAGAUUCAAUAACGUUAAUAAGAUUGAAACUUUGGCCUGGCAGUGCUACUCGUCCCUCUUUAGCUUUUCAUUUUAAGAUGAUGGAGUUGGCUGAAACCUUACUUCUUGAAUGUCAUGUUUCACUUCGAAAAUUCUGCGAUGCUCUAAAAAUAUGGACAAAGUGCUCCUCUUUACCAUUGUGGAACUUGAAAAGGUGUGUGAUAUCAAACAGUGCAUUGUAAGUUUAAGGGACAUUUUAGGAGUGUUUCCCCAUCUCUCCCUCCCCCCAAAAAAAUCCUGUUUGCACAGCUGCCCAUGAUAUAGAUACCCCAG